CGACCAAAGUCUAACGAAGGGAUUUGAAACCGGUCAUUAUAAGUGUAUUUUUUUUCCCUGUCAUCAAAACCAAUUUUAAUAGUAAUAUUUCGGUCCUUAAAAAUCAUAAAAUCCAGGCGUUAAAUAGAAAAAAGUGCGCGCUAUUUUUUGCCCACGCACCCCUCAACUCCCCCCCAAAAAGGAAAGAGUACGUAUCUUAUGUUUUAGAACUAUACAAUAACUUACAGUUACAGAGCAGAUAGCUAACAUCUCACAAAUUGGAAGAAUCAGAAUUUGGGUUCCUCUAUGAAAACCUAGGGUUUUUUCUCCUUUUCAUCAAGGUAAGCUCUAAACUUAUAGUAAACUCUUGUGAAAUUGGGCACUUUUUUAUGUUAUCAGUUCUCUUUCUAUUUUUCAAAUAUUGCGUUUCUUCUUAUGAUUACAUAUGCUUCAAAUUUAUAGUUACAUGUAUGUUCUAGGAAUAUUGCUGUUGAAUAUGCGGAAGUUGUUUCUUUAUUUUCUAGAAUUUUGCUCGUUAUAUAAUAGCUAUGUGUAUUCAUUUUGAGAGCAGAUUGUUUUUUGGAAUUGGGUUUGAUUUCAUAUUGUUGUUGGGGAAAAAGGCUUCUCAAUAUAUAUCUGGUCAUGAUUAUAUUAUAAACUUUGUCUAGUGAGGUAAGAAUUCGCUAACUUUCUCCCUAAUUAUAUAAACCGGAGACAAAAGAAACAAUUUUUUGGAUAUGGUCGUGAUUGUAUUUUAAAACAGGUCUCAGGUUUGUUCUCCUCUAUCAUCAAAGCUAAGUUUGUACAUUGAUUUUGGAUCCUCCUGUUGUGUUAUUUUCCUUUUCCUUGUUCUCUUUUUGUGGAUAAACAUGGUGUUAUCAAUCUGACUUUUAUAUAAGAUAUGGACAGAACAACAAUCCUAGAAAUAUUUUGCUCGCAAAUUUGGUGGGUCUCAAUGCUGAAGAGUGACUUGGUCUGCUAUGAGGGAAAGAAGUGAAAAUCUAUGUGAAGUAAAAGAGGAAAGCUUGACAACUGCUACUAAGAACCUAACAGAAUGUUUAUACAUUUGGUUACAAUAACAGUAGGCUACUGACCAUGGCUAAAUGAAAUAUCAAGGAGCUGAUUGUGGAAACAACGAUCUUGUCCCGAGUUAAUGGAAAUUGGUUUUAAUUGCAACAAAAAUUGUAAGAACUAAAAAUGAAAUAAAAGGUGAGCAUUACUGUUGACUAAUUCUAUAUUGUUGAUUCAGGAUAGAUUCUUUGAGAAUUAGAAAUGAAUAUUUCAGGGUGCAAAAGUUCUCUACCUGGCAAAGAUAAAAAUUAGGAAUAACACACAGUAUAUGAAUAGCAGUGCAAGUUGUGUUAGAUUAUAUUGACAUAAGUUAUUUGACAAUCCGAUGUAUUCAUAAAUUCUUAAUUGAUCUAUUAAAUUAAUUAAUUCAACUAUAUGAAUAUUCAUAGAUUCUUAAUUGUCAAGAUUCACCGUUAUUUUCUGUGCACAAUGAUCCACCUUCCUGCUUGUGUUGCUACUAUUCGCCCUUUGUACCAAAGGGAUGUUCGCGAAUGGAUAAUUGUUUCACUUUCACAGGCUCCUUGUACUAGUCAGGGGCUUCUUCAGGUUUGUUAUUCCAUCACUUUUGAGUUUCAUGACAAUGCUGUAUUUUUUUUUUCCUUCGUCUAACAUUUUUCAAGUAUGUUUGUUUGUCUAUGUUCAUUUGCUUGUGCAUAUGCUCUUGCUAAGGGAUUGAUGCUCUUUGCUUAGAGUGCAAAAUGAAUAUUUGGGUCUCUCUCUCCGCUACAUUACAGGCGGACAAAAAUUAUUUUUUUGGAAAAACAUCACUAGUCUUUUAACAUUGGUAAACACAUUAUCUUUUUUAUGUAGGAGUAAAUAUUUUGUGUGCUGAUGGUAUUUUAACUUUAUUUAGUAACGAACAUACUUUAAAUAUUUUGUGUGCUGAUAGUAUUUUUUCUUUAUUUAGUGUUGAUGGUAUUUUAUGUAGGAGUAAAUAUUGCUAUUACUUGCUAUCAGUGCUUCUUUCAUCUUCUUUAGCUGAGGGUCUAUCGGAAAAAGUAUCUUUACAUCUUCCAAAUAUUAUUUCUUGUUAAUACAUUUAGGUCGUAAUGCUCUGGGUGUGUUGUUGUUAUUUCAAUCCUGAUUUGUCCAUAUCUCUGCAGCUGAGAAAGCCUUCUCAUCCUAGUUGCAGCAUUCCCGCUGCAAUAAAUUGCCUUGCAACUCUGUUGAAGGAACCUAUUGUUCGAUCUUCAUUUGUUCAACCUGACGGAGUGAAGCUGCUUGUUGCUUUAAUAGCACCAGCAUCUACUCAGCAGUCCAUUCAGCUUCUCUAUGAGACGUGUCUCUGUGUCUGGCUUUUGUCUUACUAUGAACCUGCAAUUGAGUACUUGGCUACUUCUAGGGCCCUACCUUGAUUGACAGAAGUUGUUAAAGGUUUGACAAAGGAGAAAGUUUAGAUGAAUCCAUCAAAAUCUCAGAAGUUUGAAAUGGAAUCAACUUCGAAGACUGUUAAGCAUUCAUACGUUGCACCUGGCGCCUUAGCAAGGGGACGCGGGCAAAGCUUCAAAACUUUGGGCUCGGUAAGAGUAAAUGCUGAACAGAGACUCCCGAUUGGCAAAAGUAAAAAUCGUAAUGCAGCAGCUUCUUAUCUGAACGAGCUAGCUCAGAAUAAGAGUCUUGCACCUCCUGGUUUUGAUCCAGUAGAAGAUGAUGUUUCCCUCCCGCAAGAAGUUGAAGUGAUGCAAGACACUCAGAGAAACGAAAUAACAGGUCCAUGUGAAUCUGAAAAGGCAAAAAAAGCGAGAGGAAAGAACAGGUGUAAAAAUAUUCUCAAAGUUGGAGAAAAGUUGAGCGUCACUUUCUACCACAAUCGAGUUGUUGGGAAGAAUUCAACCUCAUUUGUGAGACACUUAGGUAUAUUAGUUCGUGACCGUAAUAUUUGCCCAUUGCGCGAAGAAUAUAAGCUGGACCAUAUGUGGGAAGCUGUUACUGGAAGAAUUUAAAGUAUUACCUUGUUGUUUUGCCUCUCCUUUUCUUCUUUCACAAAUGAAAAGAAAAUACUAGUGACUUUACAUCAUUGCAUCUAUCAAGUUCUUUUUUCUGGUUUGUAAGAAUUCAAAAAGAAAAUUAAAUGAGUAGAAACAUAUAGUUUAUUGUGCUUUUUAGAAAAACCCCAAUAUCCUACUUCUUCUGCAUCAUAAGUUGAGAAAAAUAUCCAUUUAUCUUUAGCAUCCAAAGAUAAAUAAAUAAAAACAUGAAAUUCUUCCUCACUGGGCAGGAAGUGAGACUUAGGGAGAUGAACAAGCAAUUGUGUAAGAUAAGUUUGAUGUGCUUGUAAUGACACAUCAAACUUUCUUGGGAAAACUGUAUGAGAUAAAUUUGACUUCACUCUCUGCAGUCAUAUCCAAUUUUUCUUGGAUAAGUUAUAGAUGGUGUACUCUCAUUGAGAGUAAUUCAACUAUGGCCUUGCAAGACAUACCGAAUACCACUAGGAAUAGUAAGCUGAAAGUAGAAAUUCAUCAGCAUAUUGUCUUCUAUUUCACUUAUAGUAAGCUGUCAGUUGGUACAAUGUUAGAGUAUAUUUCAGGUAACAUGAUUCUUUAUAGUUAUUUUAGGAGACUUGAUUGACAUUCGACAUUACUUAAUACUGAAUGCCACUAGGAAUUCUAUAUGCAGAAGUGGAAACUCCUCAGCAUAUAUAGGUGCAGUCUUUUAGUUUCAUUUACAGUACGCAUGUAGGGACCAAGCUGGAAACUUGUCACUGAUACUUUGCCUACCAAAUUUGUCAAUUAGUAAAAGAAGGCUUUGCUGCUAACUCUUAUAGCAGCCUGCUUUCCUACAACAGAUAGAGUGGAAAUGUAUAUAGAGAAUGUUGUGCUUGUUGUACAACCACUAAUGAAUAUGUGCCUUCUCCUUUCCAUAGAGUUUUUCUCAUUUAUUAACAUUUGUUCCUUAAGAUUCAUAUUGUUUCGAGUAAACUAUUUUUUUGUAUUAUUUGGUGCAUAAACUGAUCGACCAAUGAUAAUCUUUGAUGCUUUCAUUCAUUUAGUCUUUAAGUUAGAGUACAUAGAGAAAUGAUUAAGGAUAGCAUCCAAAGAUCAGUUCCGUUAUUGAGUAAUAAUUAAGAUCCAGAAUGAGAUUUUUCCUCCUAAUGAAAGUAUUUGCUAGAGAUGGAAACCGACAAAUAUAAAUAACACAUCUAUAAAUCAUAUCGAUGAAUCUGCUCUUUUCUCUUGUUGUAUUGGAAAUGUUCAUAUAAGAUCAAAUUAUGAUGUCGAGCAUGUUUUCACAUUUAAUAAUCACGUCAUCUUAAGAGAUAAAUUAAUUUGUCACUAGUAACUCUUAAAUAUUUUAUUUUAUAUUGUUGGUUCAGUUUUUCAUUUUUGUUUAUUUAAAACUUUUGAAUUACAUGUUUGAUGAUAUCAUAGAACAAAUUUGAUAGUGCUGACAUAAAUGGUCAAAGAGAUAAUGUCUUGAAACAUAUGAGAAGGUUAUGGAACAAUUGGAGAGGAUCGCUGCACAUGAUUUUGAAAUCUAAGCCAUUGCGCGAUGUUCUAAUGGAUGUGCCAGAGGGGGUCGACAAGAGUGAUUGAGAAUGGUUGGUCAAGGAGCACUUCUUAUCUGAAAAGUUUAAGGAAAGAAGUACGAGAAACUCAGUGAAUAGGUCUAACUUGAUUAUGCCUCAUCGUACGGGUAGCAAGCCUAUCAGAGAGAUUAUUUAUGAGCUGGGAGGCAAAGAUGGUAAUCCACCAGAUAUGGCGACUAUUUUCUUUGAGACUCAUAAGAAGGACGAUAAGCUUGUCGAACCUAAAACCAAUGAAAAAUAUGCUGAAAUUCAAGAACUGGUACAAUCCGAGCCGUCUCUUACAAAUAUUGAGGUUGUAGAAAGGUGCUUUGGACCUCAAUGCAAGAGCAAUGUGGUUGGAUUUGGGGGGUGGGAUAACCGCUAAGGAGUUAAAAGGCGGUAAUUCCUCUAAGGCUGCACUGUUGGAUGAGCUGAAUGCAACUCGAAAGGAAAAUCUAUUCCUAAAGAGACGCCUUGAUAACUUGGAGAAUACAGUUGCACAACUUGCAAGCACGUACUCUGGUCAGCCUUUAUCAACACCAUCUUAAACUGAACCAGAUACAGGCAUUUGAAAGGAUUAGAAAGGAGCUAAAUCAGGCUGAGAACCUUAAAUUCACCUAGCACACCCUGGGUUCCAGGAUGACCUGAUAUGCUACGGUUGAGAUCAGCUUCUGAGAUACACACAUAGGUGCCUUCUCUAGCCUUUUCAGAUUAAAAAGUUGAAGAAUGAAGAUCUCAUUGAAGAAAGUACAAAGCAAAUUGAUGCAUAUUAGAUUUUAUAGGUUUCUUAGUGGUUGUGUAGGGAUGUUGUCAUUUGUACAUAUGUUGAAAUUUCAUUCUGUCUUUCAGGAAUUGAUAGUGAGAAAGUCAUACAGUUUAGAUGGGUAUAUAUUCUGGUAAUGUGUUAUUUUACUAGUUCUUUCUAAUUGACAGAUUAAUUUUAUGUGAAUACAUGUUUUAUUUAUUAUUU